AACCCGCCUUCCUUAUCGGUCAAGGUACCUAUGUAUAUGGUGUCUCAAUUGCUUGGAUCAACUCUUGCAAGCUUGACCCUCAGGGCAUUGUUUCAUUACCGAGGUAUUGAAGUAACAGUGACCCAAUACAAAGAUUCAACUAGUGACCUUGAAGCCUUUGCAUGGGAAUUUAUAGCGACUUUCAUAUUGAUGUUCAAUGUUUGUGCAAUCGCCACUGACCGCAGAGCGUGCAAAGCUGUCGCUGGAGCUGCAAUAGGUGCUACAGUGCUGUUUAAUGUCAUUGUAGCUGGGUAAGUGAACUUUCCCAGCAACAUUCCACUCUUUUUUAUAUUUCAUGAACAAUUCUUUCGACAA